rnacentral:rRNA from 1 species
GACGAAGCGUACGAACGUUAUUCGGAAUUACUGGGCUUAAAGGGUGCGUAGGCUGUGCGGAAAGUUGGGCGUGAAAUACCUCAGCUUAACUGAGGAACUGCGUUCAAAACUACCGUGCUUGAGGGAGACAGAGGUAAGCGGAACUGAGGGUGGAGCGGUGAAAUGCGUUGAUAUCCUCAGGAACACCGGUGGCGAAAGCGGCUUACUGGGUCUCUUCUGACGCUGAUGCACGAAAGCUAGGGUAGCAAACGGG